rnacentral:rRNA from 1 species
ACUGGUUGUGUCAGGUCAAACAUGGACCAAAUUGUUUAUAAUUAUUUUCCGUUCCCAAAACACCAGUAGCAUCUCCAUAAAGGAAGACAUCGUAUUCUCCCUCCUCCAUUUCUGGUCUUCCGAAAUCCAUCCUGUCAAACAAGAAACAAACCUCCUCUUUCUCCCUCCUCUCCCCUCUUCGAAUCAUCGCCGGGGCGCGAAUUGGCGCUGGUUUCUGGAUUCGACGAUGAAAUCGCCAUUGCGCAAGUUCCGGGGCCUCGCCCUCCCCCACCACCACAAGGAGAAGAAGGACCAACGGCCGCCGCCCGCCAAGCUCGACAACCUCGUCGACGCCGCCCAGGAGAUGGAGGAAAUGAGAACUUGUUAUGAUAGCUUGCUUUCGGCUGCAGCUGCAACAACAAAUAGUGUAUAUGAGUUUGCAGAAGCUAUGGAAGAAAUGGGAACUUGCUUACUUGAGAAAACUGCAUUGGAUUGCGAUGAUGAUGACAGUGGCAGGGUGCUGAUGAUGCUAGGAAAGGCUCAAUUCGAACUACAAAAGUUUGUGGAUAACUAUCGCACAAAUAUCAUAAAUACAAUCACAAACCCUUCAGAGUCUCUUCUCAAGGAGCUACAAGUUGUAGAGGAAAUGAAGGACCACUGUGAUCAGAAAAGAGAGGAAUAUGAAACCAUGCGGUCAGCCUAUAAAGAUAAAGGACGAUCAAGGCAUCCCAAAACUGAAACAUUCUCCCCAGAACAAUUGCAAGCGUCCUAUCUCGAGUACCAAGAAGAUGCAACAUUAUUCAUAUUUCGCAUGAAAUCAUUGAAGCAAGGUCAAUUCUUGAGUAUUUUAACACAGGCUGCUCGCCAUCAUGCUGCUCAGUUGAGUUUUUUCAGGAAAGGGUUGAAGUAUCUAGAGGCUCUAGAACCUCAUGUAAAAGCAGUUGCUGAGAAGCAGCACAUUGAUUAUCACUUCAGUGGACUAGAUGAUGACACUGAUAAUGAUGAUUACAGCUCUUACCAGGACAAUCAUAGUGAGGGCAGUGAGUUGAGUUUUGACUACGGGAUAAACUUUCCUGCUUCCAGGAGUUCAAUGGAUUUGGAUCAGUCUAAUAUGGCGAGUCCCACGAAACCUCUGAAGGAACAUGAGCAGGAACAUGCCAAACAAAGAGAGACUGAUUUUGCAGCUCCUCGAGUGAAGCCUGAGUUUGGUACUCAAUCAGCACCAAUUUUUGCUGAUAAUGUGCUUGAUCCAUCUGUGAGGCUUCGCAAGUUGAAUUCUCCAAUGUUCUCGAGCCCACUACAGUCAAGUAGAACAAACUAUUCCUACAAACUCCCGACACCAGCUGAUGAUAAAAUCUCCACUUCAGCAGACACUAACAGAUCACCUCAUUCAGACAAACCAGAGAGUUCACAUGUGGCAGCAAAUUUGUGGCAUUCCUCUCCGCUCGUGAAAGAUUAUAAGCCGAGCUCCUUGUAUAGCGGGCCUGUUAAGAUGCCAUCAAGUACUGAGAGGAGAUCAUCACCAUUAGUUUAUUCCUACUCCACUUCAGAUUCUAAGAAAAUGAAGAGGGAAUCUUUUUCUGGCCCAAUUCCUAGUAAAGCAGGGCUAAGCAAACCCUUGUUUUCAGCUGCUGGUCACAGAGCAUCAGUAAAUUAUCCUCCUCGUGUUAUGUCAACAAAAUCACAUGGACCAGGUUCUCUUCCAUCUGUGGCUCCAAAAGUCCCUAGGAUAACUUCACUGCCAACAACAUCCCCCAGAAUUAGUGAGCUUCAUGAGCUGCCUAGGCCUCCUGCAGCUUUAGACACUCUCCGGCCUGGUUUGGUUGGAUAUUCUGGUCCUUUGGUAUCAAGGCGGCAAAUUCCUACCCGUGCCUCCCCACCGUCAAAUACAGCAUCACCGCUUCCACGACCACCUGCUGCCAUGACUCGCAGCUAUUCUAUACCUUCAAACAGCCAAAGAACACCUAUUAUUACUGUGAAUAAGUUGUUGGAGUCUAGGCAUAGCAGAGAGAGCAGCGAAGUGUCCUCGCCCCCACUAACACCUAUAUCUUUGGCAGAUGUUUCCCGCAAAGCAAUAGCAGAAACAACUAUAGACACCAGAAGGAUGAAGGGUAAGUUUCUACUGCUAAAUAAUUGGUUUCACACAUAUUUAUCUCUAGAUAAUAAUUUCAUGUUUAAACCUCACCAUAGAUUUCUGUUCUGAACUGUGCCUUAAGUGUUGGUUUUACUCCAUUAUUGUUUUCGAUCAUCUCACUGCGAUAUGUUUUCCAUUUUUAGAUAUCUGCUCUUUUCAAUGGUUUCAUUGGUUUUGAUCAUGGCAUUGUGAGUAGUUUUAGGGAAAGUAUUUAGAUCAUACUAUAGUUCACAACUUCACAUGUGAAUGAAAUGCAAUCCACUCAUGAUUUUUUUUGCAAGAUUCCAAGAUUCAGAUAUAUUCAGUAUUUUACUGCACAAAUGCUACUACACACAAUGUAUAAUGCCAUGUCUAACUAUACUCUAUCCUUUGAUUGCAGAAACCUUGUGAGCACUCACACAUCCAAACCUGUUUAUAAUUGUAGGCAAUUUUGUACGUAAGUAGUUUGCAUUCUUGGUUUUCUUCAAUAGUCUUUGGUGUAUUUUGUGAAACAAAAAGGUGAAAUAAAGAUAGCAAUAUUUUACCUUCAUUCACAUAUGAAAGACUUCCUAUCCUUGGCUUAUUUAUUUGGCCUGCUUAUUGGAUUAUUUUUACUCCAUGGCUUGCAUAUCUGAAGUAUUUAUUGGAUUUAGGUGUAUCUGUCCACCAUUGUCCUUGUUUGCACAGAGAUUCAGUUUUUCAAAGUGC